AGAGUUUGAUCCUGGCUCAGGACGAACGCUGGCGGCGUGCUUAACACAUGCAAGUCGAACGAUGAACCACUUCGGUGGGGAUUAGUGGCGAACGGGUGAGUAACACGUGGGCAAUCUGCCCUGCACUNUGGGACAAGCCCUGGAAACGGGGUCUAAUACCGGAUACAACCACUAGGGGCAUCUCUUGGUGGUGGAAAGCUCCGGCGGUGCAGGAUGAGCCCGCGGCCUAUCAGCUUGUUGGUGAGGUAAUGGCUCACCAAGGCGACGACGGGUAGCCGGCCUGAGAGGGCGACCGGCCACACUGGGACUGAGACACGGCCCAGACUCCUACGGGAGGCAGCAGUGGGGAAUAUUGCACAAUGGGCGAAAGCCUGAUGCAGCGACGCCGCGUGAGGGAUGACGGCCUUCGGGUUGUAAACCUCUUUCAGCAGGGAAGAAGCGAAAGUGACGGUACCUGCAGAAGAAGCGCCGGCUAACUACGUGCCAGCAGCCGCGGUAAUACGUAGGGCGCGAGCGUUGUCCGGAAUUAUUGGGCGUAAAGAGCUCGUAGGCGGCUUGUCACGUCGGUUGUGAAAGCCCGGGGCUUAACCCCGGGUCUGCAGUCGAUACGGGCAGGCUAGAGUUCGGUAGGGGAGAUCGGAAUUCCUGGUGUAGCGGUGAAAUGCGCAGAUAUCAGGAGGAACACCGGUGGCGAAGGCGGNUUNUNGGCCG
rnacentral:rRNA from 1 species